UGUCCAGUGGCACCUUAGAGACCAACUAAGUUUGUUCUUGGUAUGAGCUUUCGUGUGCACCAAGAACAAACUUAGUUGGUCUCUAAGGUGCCACUGGACA